rnacentral:pre_miRNA from 18 species
UCCUAUGACAGGCGAGCUUUUGGCCCGGGUUAUACCUGAUUCUCACGUAUAAGACGAGCAAAAAGCUUGUUGGUCAGAGG